rnacentral:rRNA from 1 species
UACGAAGGGGGCUAGCGUUGCUCGGAAUCACUGGGCGUAAAGGGUGCGUAGGCGGGUCUUUAAGUCAGGGGUGAAAUCCUGGAGCUCAACUCCAGAACUGCCUUUGAUACUGAAGAUCUUGAGUUCGGGAGAGGUGAGUGGAACUGCGAGUGUAGAGGUGAAAUUCGUAGAUAUUCGCAAGAACACCAGUGGCGAAGGCGGCUCACUGGCCCGAUACUGACGCUGAGGCACGAAGGCCAGGGAGCAACGGG